UAUGCAGCCUGGAACCAUCACCAGCCAA
rnacentral:misc_RNA from 1 species